rnacentral:rRNA from 1 species
AUACGGAGGGUGCAAGCGUUAUCCGGAUUUACUGGGUUUAAAGGGUGCGUAGGCGGCCUUGUAAGUCCGUGUUGAAAGGCUACGGCUUAACCGUAGUAAGGCAUGGAUACUGCGAGGCUUGAGUACAGUGGGGGCAGAUGGAAUUGGUGGAGUAGCGGUGAAAUGCAUAGAUACCACCAGGAACACCGAUAGCGAAGGCAGUCUGCUACGCUGUAACUGACGCUGAGGCACGAAAGCGUGGGGAGCAAACAGGAUUAGAUACCCUGGUAGUCCACGCCGUAAACGAUGGAUACUCGGUGUCAGCCCGCUGGGGUUGGUGCCUAAGCGAAAGCGAUAAGUAUCCCACCUGGGGAGUACGCCGGCAACGGUGAA